UACAGAGGCCCCAAGCGUUAGGCGGAAUCACUGGGCUUAAAGCGUGUGUAGGCGGACGCCUAAGUGUCUUGUGAAAUCCCACGGCUCACCCGUGGAACUGCUGGGGAUACUGGGCGUCUUGGGCCAACUAGGGGCAGCCGGAACAAGCGGUGGAGCGGUGAAAUGCGUAGAUAUCGCUUGGAACGCCGAAGGUGAAAACAGGCUGCUGGGGUUGCGCCGACGCUGAGACACGAAAGCCAGGGGAGCAAACGGG
rnacentral:rRNA from 1 species